GAUGAACGCUAGCGGCAGGCUUAAUACAUGCAAGUCGUGGGGCAGCAGGACUGUAGCAAUACAGUUGCUGGCGACCGGCAUACGAGUGCGGCACACGUACGCAACUUACCCUGAACUGGGGGAUAGCCCGGGGAAACCCGGAUUGAUACCCCGUAAUAUAAUGGAGUGGCAUCACUUUAUUAUUAAAGCUCCGGCGGUUCGGGAUGGGCGUGCGGCUGAUUAGGUAGUUGGUUGAGGUAACGGCUCACCAAGCCUACGAUCAGUAACUGGUGGGAGAGCACGACCCGUCACACGGGGACUGGGACACGGGCCCGAGUCCUACGGGAGGCAGCAGUAAGGAAGAUUGGGCAAUGGAGGCAACUCUGACCCAGCCAUGCCGCGUGGAGGAUGAAGGCCCUCUGGGUUGUAAACUUCUUUUAUAGGGGAUGAAACCUGUGUAUUCUUACGCAGUUGACGGUACCCUAGGAAUAAGCACCGGCUAACUCCGUG
rnacentral:rRNA from 1 species